rnacentral:rRNA from 1 species
UACGUAGGGUGCAAGCGUUGUCCGGAAUUAUUGGGCGUAAAGAGCUCGUAGGCGGUUUGUCGCGUCUGCUGUGAAAACUGGAGGCUCAACCUCCAGCCUGCAGUGGGUACGGGCAGACUAGAGUGCGGUAGGGGAGAUUGGAAUUCCUGGUGUAGCGGUGGAAUGCGCAGAUAUCAGGAGGAACACCGAUGGCGAAGGCGGUGGUCUGGGCCGGCACUGACGCUGAGGAGCGAAAGCGUGGGUAGCAAACAGG